AUUGAACGCUGGCGGCAGGCCUAACACAUGCAAGUCGAGCGGUAGAGAGAAGCUUGCUUCUCUUGAGAGCGGCGGACGGGUGAGUAAUGCCUAGGAAUCUGCCUGGUAGUGGGGGAUAACGUUCGGAAACGGACGCUAAUACCGCAUACGUCCUACGGGAGAAAGCAGGGGACCUUCGGGCCUUGCGCUAUCAGAUGAGCCUAGGUCGGAUUAGCUAGUUGGUGAGGUAAUGGCUCACCAAGGCGACGAUCCGUAACUGGUCUGAGAGGAUGAUCAGUCACACUGGAACUGAGACACGGUCCAGACUCCUACGGGAGGCAGCAGUGGGGAAUAUUGGACAAUGGGCGAAAGCCUGAUCCAGCCAUGCCGCGUGUGUGAAGAAGGUCUUCGGAUUGUAAAGCACUUUAAGUUGGGAGGAAGGGCAGUUACCUAAUACGUGAUUGUUUUGACGUUACCGACAGAAUAAGCACCGGCUAACUCUGUGCCAGCAGCCGCGGUAAUACAGAGGGUGCAAGCGUUAAUCGGAAUUACUGGGCGUAAAGCGCGCGUAGGUGGUUAGUUAAGUUGGAUGUGAAAUCCCCGGGCUCAACCUGGGAACUGCAUUCAAAACUGACUGACUAGAGUAUGGUAGAGGGUGGUGGAAUUUCCUGUGUAGCGGUGAAAUGCGUAGAUAUAGGAAGGAACACCAGUGGCGAAGGCGACCACCUGGACUGAUACUGACAC
rnacentral:rRNA from 1 species